ACUGGACCCUUUGUCCAUAGUGUGGCUGCUGUGUCACAUGUGCAUCAAAGGGGUGGCAGAGAGGAGAGAGGCUAUGUCUACACUUAGUGUUGUGACCUAUUAACAUCUGAAUGAUUGGUGGCUUAACACU